rnacentral:rRNA from 1 species
GAUCCUGGCUCACAUUGAACGCUGGCGGCAGGCUUAACACAUGCAAGUCGAACGGUAGCAGGAGAAAGCUUGCUUUCUUGCUGACGAGUGGCGGACGGGUGAGUAAUGCUUGGGAAUCUGGCUUAUGGAGGGGGGAUAACUACGGGAAACUGUAGUUAAUACCGCGUAAUAUCGAAAGAUUAAAGUGUGGGACCUUCGGGUCCGACCAUGCCACUAAGAAUGAGCCCAACGUGGGAGUUAGGUAGUUGGUGGGGGUAAAGGGACCG